rnacentral:rRNA from 1 species
AUUGAACGCUGGCGGCAUGCUUUACACAUGCAAGUCGGACGGCAGCGGGGUAGUGCUUGCACUACUGCCGGCGAGUGGCGAACGGGUGAGUAAUAUAUUGGAACGUACCGGGUAAUGGGGGAUAACCAAUCGAAAGAUUGGCUAAUACCGCAUACGCUCUGAGGAGGAAAGCAGGGGACCUUCGGGCCUUGCGCUAUUCGAGCGGCCAAUAUCUGAUUAGCUAGUUGGUGGGGUAAAGGCCUACCAAGGCGAUGAUCAGUAGCGGGUCUGAGAGGAUGAUCCGCCACACUGGGACUGAGACACGGCCCAGACUCCUACGGGAGGCAGCAGUGGGGAAUUUUGGACAAUGGGCGCAAGCCUGAUCCAGCCGUGCCGCGUGUCUGAAGAAGGCCUUCGGGUGGUAAAGGACUUUUGUUAGGGAAGAAAAAGGAGCGGUUA